rnacentral:rRNA from 1 species
AAUCAACGCUGGCGGCGCGCUUAACACAUGCAAGUCGCACGAGAAAGCGGGGGCAACCUCGCGAGUAAAGUGGCGUACGGGUGAGUAACACGUGGGUAAUCUACCCUUUAGUGGGGAAUAACCCUGGGAAACCGGGGCUAAUACCGCAUAAUCCCGAGAGGGGAAAGCCGAAAGGCGCUGAAGGAGGAGCCCGCGGCCGAUUAGCUGGUUGGUGGGGUAAGAGCUCACCAAGGCAAAGAUCGGUAGCCGGCCUGAGAGGGCACACGGCCACACUGGCACUGAAACACGGGCCAGACUCCUACGGGAGGCAGCAGUGGGGAAUCUUGCACAAUGGGGGAAACCCUGAUGCAGCGACGCCGCGUGAGCGAUGAAGCCCUUCGGGGUGUAAAGCUCUUUCGGCAGGGACGAAAGAUGACGGUACCUGCAGAAGCAGCUGCGGCUAACUACGUGCCAGCAGCCGCGGUAAUACGUAGGCAGCGAGCGUUGUUCGGAGUUACUGGGCGUAAAGGGUGCGUAGGCGGUCCUUUAAGUUUGGUGUGAAAUCUCCCGGCUCAACUGGGAGGGUGCGCCGGAUACUGAGGGACUAGAGUGCGGGAGAGGAAAGUGGAAUUCCUGGUGUAGCGGUGAAAUGCGUAGAUAUCAGGAGGAACACCGGUGGUGUAAACGGCUUUCUGGACCGUAACUGACGCUGAGGCACGAAAGCGUGGGGAGCAAACAGGAUUAGAUACCCUGGUAGUCCACGCCCUAAACGAUGCACGUUUGGUGUGGGUGAUUCAGUUCAUCCGUGCCGGAGCUAACGCGUUAAACGUGCCGCCUGGGGAGUACAGUCGCAAGGCUG